GCCUGGUGGUUCCCAAAGACGGCCAUCCCAUGCCAGUCGCUGGGUUUUGAUUGACAGGCAUAAAUAAACUCUGCGAUUUGAUGCAUGGAUGCUUCAACUCUCCGUAGCCUCCAUAGCCCGGUUGCAGAGACAUAA